UUAAUUUAUCACUGCGGUGAUAUAUUUGUAACUGCGGUGAUACUUUGUUUGACCCAAAGCGUUUGAUAAGAGCUAAAUCAAACUGACCAAUGAAAUAACGUCUUGCGAAACGGCAAAUCGGCGAAUAUUUACUGCGAAGUUGUAAAGAUGUCUGCCUCCAUGGAUACUGUAAACAUUAGCGUUCAGAUCAUGAGUUUGGUAAUUUUAAUCUUCGGACACAAGGAUGACGGCAAUUAAGAGACCAUCAAUGGUUGUGAAACUGAGGAUAUUCUAUUGGAAGGAAAGACAUGAAUGCAUUCAAGUUUCCUGUGAGCAAUAUGAUGCCCUGAGUUUGCCAGACUGCCUAACAUUAUAAAACAAGAGAGUGAAACACUUGAAACUUGAAAACAUGUAGUUCCUGUGUUUCUAGAGCCUGAAAUGGCAACUCCAGCUUUCUACCAAAGCAUCAUCUGGAAUUCAACUAUGUACAUUAAAAAAUGAAUGCGUGUCUUAAUUAUGUCUUUUGAGAGCCCUGACGGGUCUUGAGAUAUCAGAUGUUUUGAAAUUUAUGACAAUUAAUUAUAGAACAUUUGUAAUGUUCAAUCCUGUUCAUGUUUUGUGUGAACUGAUAGUAAGCUUAUGUAUGAGGAACCGUUUAUUGCCUGGUUAGCUGCUGUAGAGCACUCAUAGGAAUCGGGAGAUCUUUGGAAUUCCUUUGUGGCUUGCAAAUUUCAACCUGUUUUCAAAAAUUGCUUAGUUGGUCAGUGUGUCAAAAUGUCAAUUUUCAGGUCUGGUUUUAAGAAAGAUAUUUAAAGGCAAUGUGCAUGGUUUUCCUUAGUAAUAGCAUGUGCACAGAAAAAAAGCUUAAUAUUAGAUAUUUUGUAAAAAUCAGUUUCUUGUCCGUCCAUAGCUAUACACGUACAUAGAUGAUGUUAACUGUAAUUAAUAUACCAACAAUAAAUAAAAGGUUGUAUCUUGCAUCUUUUAA